rnacentral:rRNA from 1 species
CGGAGGGGCAAGCGUUGUUCGGAAUCAUUGGGCGUAAAGGGCGCGUAGGUGGCCAAACAAGUCGGGUGUGAAAUCCCUCGGCUCAACCGAGGAACUGCAUUCGAUACUGUUCGGCUAGAGUCCGGGAGGGAUGGUGGAAUUCCCAGUGUAGCGGUGAAAUGCGUAGAUAUUGGGAAGAACACCGGUGGCGAAGGCGGCCAUCUGGACCGGCACUGACACUGAGGCGCGAAAGCCAGGGGAGCGAAUGGGAUUAGAUACCCCGGUAGUCCUGGCUGUAAACGAUGGGCACUUGAUGUGGCGGGUACUGACCCCCGCCGUGUCGAAGCUAACGCGUUAAGUGCCCCGCCUGGGGAGUACGGUCGCAAGGCUG